rnacentral:lncRNA from 1 species
AAAUAUUUUUAUGCGACAGUAUAAUUUGUAUAGAUGUAUAUAUAAAAACUAUGAAUUAAUAAAUUAUUGCAAUGAUUUUAUUAUUGCGAAAAAUGAGACAUGGUUAUAUUCACAAUAAUUUGAACUUGUAUAAUUUUAUAAAGUUCCAUAAACAUUUGACAAAAGUUAUAAUGCCUUAUCAUCCUUCCCCUUAUACAGUAAAUAUCAAUCAAUGAGCAAAAUUUAAUGGUUAUAGAAAAAUAUGUAGCUCAAUGUCGACUAUUUUCAGUGAUUCCCUUUUUUCUUUGAUUUCAGCUUUUUUUUUAUUAUGUUUGUGAUUUCAGAAAUUUUUGCAAUUAUAAGCCAAUUUUGUCUUGUCUCUAUGCUAUUUGUGUUACAUUAUUUGCUUCUUUAGAGCAUUUUUUAACUUUCAUGAUUAUCAUAACUGUAAUUAAAUAUGUUCCAAUACAUUAUCUUUACAUACUUAUAUUCAUACUUUUGAAUCAACGUUAAUCAGAUCAGUGUGUGGCGUAUACAUGUUAUAUUUUUUUCUGAAGUUAGCAGCAUUGCUUUUCUGAAUAAUUUGAAGAGAAUAUGUUCAAACUUGCAAAUAAUGGAAACACUUUGUCAGUAAUUUAAUAUGUAGGGUGCUAAUAGUGACUGAACGUGAGAAUGAUUAUAUUUAAGCCUGUGUAUGAUUAAAACCUGAUAUGUGUAAUACAUUUAAUUAAUGAUAAAAAGAAAAGUUUCUAUAGAAAGACUUCCAAAAACAUAUUAAACUGGAAAAAAGUAAUUGGAACAAUUACAAAUGGCCUGACUAGAGUCAAUAGCCAAAAUAUGAUACAUGUAUGUCAUUACAUUUUAACAAAGAUGAUACAAUUCGAUGGCAGAGGGUGUCUGCUGCACAAUUUAUUCUUCCUGGGUUUUUAAGUUUGAAUGUUGAAUCAAGUUUUGUAUAUUUGCAGGGCAUGAAUACUUUAAACUUAGUAUUUUGUUUGAAUUUUCUUUCACUGAAUGGUCUUCUUCUAUGUAUCAAAGAUCAAAAGAUAGCAGAUAAGUUAAAAAAAUGUAUUCAAAUGUUUGACAUAUAAACAAGUAAGAAAAAUAUGAUAGGACUUUUUCAGAGACAAAAAUUCUGAUUAUCCCACAUUAUGUUAUCGUGCUAUAUGUAAUUGUUAUAUGAACUUAAGGUGAUAUAUUGUUUGUUUUGCAAUAUCAAAUUAAAAUCAAUUAUUGCAUGAGUAUAAAAGUAGAUGAUAUCAAUUUUUGAAUUAGUCAUCUGUUAAAAUGGGGAUCCCAACCUUCCCCCUAACCUGGGACAGUGGUAUAACAGUACAACAUAAGAGCGAACUUUUAAAAUCAAAGUUAAAAAUAAAGUUUAUUUAUAAAAGUAAUUUGAUGAGAGAAGAGAACCACCCACUACCGAGAGAAUUAUUUUUUUUUAAAUUGUUAAUGAAAUAUGCAUAUUUCCCCUUCUUUUUGACACAUGUGUGAACAUCAGACUGAAAGAUUUGGAGACUGAUUUGAGGGAGAAAAACAAACAUACUCACAAUGCUACAUAACCUUUAUCUGUUUUGUAUUUUAUAAUUAGAAUUUACAAAAUUUACAUUAUUAGAGAGCAAGGCAUGAGACAACCUUCAUUUAAACAUAGGAAGAAGAGGUAUAUGUGGUACAAAUUGGGGAGCAAGGGUAUUUCUUUGUCAGCUGGUCCCUAAUUUUAAAAAAAUGUUUCAAGUAGAUUGACACACAAGAAGUAGAAGUUUCAUGUCCUUUGUAUAAUAUUUUGCUUUUGUUUGACUUUGUAUCAAUGUAUUUACUUAUAAUCUAUAACCUAUGAAUAUGUGUAAACUCAUUGUUUUAAAGUUUUGAAUCUAUCUUAACCAAUAAAAUUCAGUUUUAAGUUCUUUUGAUUUGUACAUUGGAUAUGUCACUACACAUAAAUAGAAAUAUUUCUUGUGUAUAACUGACUUAUGAAUUAAUGAAGAAAGAUAACUCUCCAAUAGGAACAGA